rnacentral:rRNA from 1 species
GACGAACGCUGGCGGCGUGCUUAACACAUGCAAGUCGAACGGAAAGGCCCUGCUUUUGUGGGGUGCUCGAGUGGCGAACGGGUGAGUAACACGUGAGUAACCUGCCCUUGACUUUGGGAUAACUUCAGGAAACUGGGGCUAAUACCGGAUAGGAGCUCCUGCUGCAUGGUGGGGGUUGGAAAGUUUCGGCGGUUGGGGAUGGACUCGGGGCUUAUCAGCUUGUUGGUUGGGUAGUGGCUUACCAAGGCUUUGACGGGUUGCCGGCCUGAGAGGGGAACCGGCCACUGACGGAUUAAAAGAGCGCCCAGAACCCUACGGGAGGGAUGAGGGGGAAAUAUUGCACAAUAGGCGGAAGUCAGAUGCAGCAACGCCGCGUGCGGGAGGACGGACUUCGGGUUGUAAACCGCUUUGGUCUGUGACGCAGCGUGAGUGACGGUAAUGGGUAAAGAAGCACCGGCUAACUACGUG